rnacentral:misc_RNA from 1 species
GUCUAUAUUCACGCUAUUACCAUGCCACUCCCAUAUUCCCAAAUCCUUUGUAUCGACAAUUAAGAUAAAUAUGGUAACAACUAAAACAAAUGAGAAUGAAAUGAAAGAUGUUUAAAAAAAUCAAUUUCCUGUUCUAGAAAUAGGUGAAACUGAAUUUAGAGCAACUUUAGAACAUAAAGGAUACCCCAAGGCUUUGCUUCACCAGUUUAUUCUCCCAGACUUGCUAGUUAA